rnacentral:rRNA from 1 species
GACGAACGCUGGCGGCGUGCUUAACACAUGCAAGUCGAGCGGAAAGGCCACUUCGGUGGUACUCGAGCGGCGAACGGGUGAGUAACACGUGAGUAAUCUGCCCUUGGCUUUGGGAUAGCCACCGGAAACGGUGAUUAAUACCGGAUAUGACCACUCUAGGCAUCUGGUGGUGGUGGAAAGUUUUUCGGCCAGGGAUGUGCUCGCGGCCUAUCAGCUUGAUGGUGAGGUAAUGGCUCACCAUGGCUUCGACGGGUAGCCGGCCUGAGAGGGUGACCGGUCGCACUAGGACUGAGACACCGCCCAGCCUCCGACGGGAGGCAGCAGUGUGGAAUAUUGGACAAUGGGCGGAAGCCUGAUCCAGCAACGCCGCGUGAGGGAUGACGGCCUUCGGGUUGUAAACCUCUUUCGGUAGGGACGAAGCGUGAGUGACGGUACCUACUAAAGAAGCACCGGCCAACUACGUGCCAGCCGCCGCUGUAAAAC